UACAUGGGGUGCAAACGUUGCUCGGAAUUAUUGGGCGUAAAGCGCGCGUAGGCGGUUACUCAAGUCGGAUGUGAAAGCCCUCGGCUUAACUGAGGAAGUGCACCCGAAACUGAGUAGCUAGAGUACUAAAGAGGGUCGCGGAAUUCCAGGUGUAGCGGUGAAAUGCGUAGAUAUCUGGAGGAAUACCGGUGGCGAAGGCGGCAUCCUGGACCGACAUUGACGCUGAUGAGCGAAAGCUAGGGGAGCAAACGGG
rnacentral:rRNA from 1 species